rnacentral:lncRNA from 1 species
GGAGUGCCCUGCUGUACCAUAUAAUUACUGAGUCCUACUUGUAUGCUUAUAAAACACAAAUACUGAAACAUUUCCUAAUAUUGUGCCAUUAUUUCUCCUAGCCUGGACCCAGCUUUCAAGUAUUCUGCCUCAAGUCUUCUCCAGAACAAGAUGAGAGAAAUCCAACCUAAAAUAACUAAAAAUGACAAGACAGGGAAAUAACUUUAUAUUUGGAAUAAUUUAAAUCUCAGAAAAACUGCAAAAAUAUCAUACAGAACUUUAAAUACCCUUCAUCCAGAUUUCCCAAAUAUAAUCAACUUGAGAAAUGUCAAAAAUAUCAAGCUCAUGAAAGACAAACACUGAGGAACUGUUCCAUAUUGAAGCUAAAGCAACAUGGCGACACACACAAGUAAUCUUGGACUGCAUAGACCUAUAAAGGAAACUGGAACAACUGAUGAAAUCUGAAUGGGAUCUUAUGAAAUUGAAUGGUAAUUUCUUGAUUGUGAUUAUAUUACAGGGUAUAUAG